rnacentral:miRNA from 8 species
GCAGUGCAUCUGCAAAGCAACA